rnacentral:rRNA from 1 species
UACGUAGGGGGCGAGCGUUGUCCGGAUUUAUUGGGCGUAAAGAGCGUGUAGGCGGCUAGGUAGGUCCGCUGUGAAAACUCGGGGCUCAACCCCGAGAGGUCGGUGGAAACCAUCUGGCUAGAGUCCGGAAGAGGAGAGUGGAAUUCCUGGUGUAGCGGUGAAAUGCGCAGAUAUCAGGAGGAACACCGGUGGCGAAGGCGACUUACUGGACACAUAUUGACGCUGAGGUGCGAAAGCGUGGGGAGCAAACAGG